CACAUCAAUUAGGCUUGGCUUUUCAAAGUGAUCCACAGAAAAACAAAAAAUAAGAAACAUUAUUUUAUCUACAGAGAACAAAAAAAAAUAAGACAAUAAUUUAUUCAAUAAGCUCCCCAACAAUGUGAAAUCAACCCUUUGUAACUAGAAUAUGAGCUUCCCUCGGGCAACGAUGAGUACGGUGACCCAUCAUAUAGGAAUUUUUUGUCAGUUCUACGCCAUAUACGCUUCCUAACCAUAUUUCCCUGUAGGACUUCAACUAUCUGGCUCAUAUUUGGGCGAAACUUUGCAGGUUUAUAAACACAAGCUGCAGCACAACAAGUCAUUCGAGCCAAAUCCUUUUUCUUAUAGGCCUUCUGCAAUUUGGCAUCAACAAGAACACUAUAUUUGCCUCUAUACAAAGCUUGUUUGAGCCGAGGCCUUGCCCAAUCAGCUAAGUUAAUGCGAUCAUUGCCUUCAUCAUCAACAGCAGGUUUCCCAGUAAUCAACUCCAAAAGCACAAU
rnacentral:misc_RNA from 1 species